CCUACGGGAGGCAGCAGUGGGGGAUAUUGCACAAUGGGGGAAACCCUGAUGCAGCGACGCCGCGUGAGGGAAGAAGUAUUUCUGUACGUAAAGCUCUAUCAGCAGGGAAGAAAAUUACGGUACCUGACUAAGAAGCCCCGGCUAACUACGGUCCAGCAGCCGCGGUAAUACGGAGGGGGCAAGCGUUAUCCGGAUUUACUGGGGGGAACGGGAGCGUAGACGGCGGCGCCAGUAUGGAUGGAAAUCCCAUGGCCUAACCAUGGAGCUGCUUUGGAAACUGUGCAGCUAGAGUGCAGGAGAGGUAAGCGGAAUUCCUAGUGUAGCGGUGAAAUGCGUAGAUAUUAGGAGGAACACCAGUGGCGAAGGCGGCUUACUGGACUGUAACUGACGUUGAGGCUCGAAAGCGUGGGGAGCAAACAGGAUUAGAUACCCGAGUAGUC
rnacentral:rRNA from 1 species